GACGAGCGCUGGCGGCGUGCUUAACACAUGCAAGUCGAACGGAAAGGCCCUGCUUUUGUGGGGUGCUCGAGUGGCGAACGGGUGAGUAACACGUGAGUAACCUGCCCUUGACUUUGGGAUAACUUCAGGAAACUGGGGCUAAUACCGGAUAGGAGCUCCUGCUGCAUGGUGGGGGUUGGAAAGUUUCGGCGGUUGGGGAUGGACUCGCGGCUUAUCAGCUUGUUGGUGGGGUAGUGGCUUACCAAGGCUUUGACGGGUAGCCGGCCUGAGAGGGUGACCGGCCACAUUGGGACUGGGAUACGGCGCAGACUACUACGGGAGGCAGCAGUGGGGAAUAUUGCACAAUGGGCGGAAGCCUGAUGCAGCAACGCCGCGUGCGGGAUGACGGCCUUCGGGUUGUAAACCGCUUUAGCCUGUGACGAGGCGUGAGUGACGGUAAUGGGUAUAGAAGCACCGGCUAACUACGUG
rnacentral:rRNA from 1 species